GGCAAUUAUUUUCGCCAAUGGUCAACGAUAUUUGUUUACUUUUUUAUGAUUUGUAAGUUAUAAAACAAAUAUUUCUUGUAUAUGUCACUAAUGUUUCACAGUCUCAGUGACGACAAUUACAAGAUGAUGAAGUUAUUAUGCACUGCGUUGGUUUUGACAUUGUUUUGUGCACAGGUUAUUGAUGCACAACUCUUAAGUGCAUUUCUUUUAAGUCGGGUACUAGGUGGAGGUAACUUCUUAGGCGGAGGAGGAGGAGGAGGAGGUUUUCAGCAACCUGCUACAUUUUACUACCCUAAUUUUCUUUCUGGUCCACCACCAAUGCACGGAGGGAAUUUCUACGGAUGAAAUUUAAAAAAACAUCAUGUAAUCAACGAUUUGCCAUGAAGACUGUUCGACGGUGGAACUUCUGAAAUAUUUCAUAGAAUGUGUUCAGAUUUCAGUAAAUUAAAAAUUUCAAAACAUUGA